ACAGGUGGGACACACCUGGGGUACAGGUGAGACACACCUGGGGUACAGGUGAGACAGGUAACCCUGGGACAGGUAACCCUGGGAUACAGGUAACACUGGGACCGCCUCAACCGCCGCUACUGCCGACAGGUGAGAGCACCUGGGGUACAGGUGAGACACACCUGGGCAGGUGAGACAGGUAACACUGGGACAGGUAACACUGGGACAG